rnacentral:rRNA from 1 species
GACGAACGCUGGCGGCGUGCCUAAUACAUGCAAGUUGAGCGCUGAAGGUUGGUACUUGUACCAACUGGAUGAGCAGCGAACGGGUGAGUAACGCGUGGGGAAUCUGCCUUUGAGCGGGGGACAACAUUUGGAAACGAAUGCUAAUACCGCAUAAAAACUUUAAACACAAAUUUUAAGUUUGAAAGAUGCAAUUGCAUCACUCAAAGAUGAUCCCGCGUUGUAUUAGCUAGUUGGUGAGGUAAAGGCUCACCAAGGCGAUGAUACAUAGCCGACCUGAGAGGGUGAUCGGCCACAGUGGGACUGAGACACGGCCCAAACUCCUACGGGAGGCAGCAGUAGGGAAUCUUCGGCAAUGGACGAAAGUCUGACCGAGCAACGCCGCGUGAGUGAAGAAGGUUUUCGGAUCAUAAAACUCUGUUGGUAGAGAAGAACGUUGGUGAGAGUGGAAAGCUCAUCAAGUGACGGUAACUACCCAGAAAGGGACGGCUAACUACGUG